AUUCGGCUUAAAUAUCUUCAGCAUAAUCAAACCUGGUUUAUAUCAUUUCUGUUCGUCCUCGCCAUGAAGUGUUUGUUGGCUUUGUCGUGAAGAGUCCCACAUCCGCGAUCCAAGCUCCAAAGACUUCCGCACUGCAGGUGCUUUCUGCAAUGAACAGAAGCUGGUCAAAGAACCAGACGAGCCUCUGAAUCUUUAAUACAAUGAUAGCUCAUGGCUCAGUGAGAAUGCAUCGGAUGAAAGAGGCUCUAGCACAAACAGUUUUCAUCCUUUCGUUAAGCAUUCCAUCUGGCAGUUCCGAAUCCUUCGACAACAUUUCUUUCAAUCUCCCGUCUUUUCAAUUAAACGAUCAGAGAAUUACUUUCCAGGGCAAUGCCUCCGUGCUGAACUCCAUCAUCCAAC